GGAUGUGAGGGCGAUCUGGCUGCGACAUCUGUCACCCCAUUGAUCGCCAGGGUUGAUUCGGCUGAUCUGGCUGGCUAGGCGGGUGUCCCCCUCCUCCCUCACCGAUCCAUAUGCGUCCCUCCCGAAGCUGCGCGCUAGGUCGAAGAGGACGACCCCCCCCUGCCCCGAAGCUGCGCGCUCGGUCGAAGAGGACGAACUUCCCCCCCGAGGAGAGGACCGGUCUUCGGUCAAGGGUAUAAGAGUAGCUGCGCUCCCCUGCUAGAACCUCCAAACAAGCUCUCAAGAAUGAGCAAUUAUAUCAGAAACCUAUCCUGAUUCAUCACUCUGAACCCAACCCUGGAGCAGAUAGAGAAGCUGCAUCAGACCUACAUAAAGGU
rnacentral:snRNA from 1 species